GAGUUUGAUCCUGGCUCAGGACGAACGCUGGCGGCGUGCCUAAUACAUGCAAGUGGAACGCAUUGAUUUCACCGGAGCUUGCUCCACCGAAAUUAGUGAGUCGCGAACGGGUGAGUAACGCGUAGGUAACCUACCUCUUAGCGGGGGAUAACUAUUGGAAACGAUAGCUAAUACCGCAUAACAAUAGGAUACACAUGUACCCUAUUUAAAAGGAGCAACUGCUUCACUAAGAGAUGGACCUGCGUUGUAUUAGCUAGUUGGUAGGGUAACGGCCUACCAAGGCAUCGAUACAUGGCCGACCUGAGAGGGUGAUCGGCCACACUGGGACUGAGACACGGCCCAGACUCCUACGGGAGGCAGCAGUAGGGAAUCUUCGGCAAUGGGGGGAACCCUGACCGAGCAACGCCGCGUGAGUGAAGAAGGUUUUCGGAUCGUAAAGCUCUGUUGUAAGAGAAGAANCGUGUGAGAGAGUGGAAAGUUCU
rnacentral:rRNA from 1 species